rnacentral:rRNA from 1 species
GAUGAACGCUAGCGACAGGCUUAACACAUGCAAGUCGAGGGGAAGCGGUAUCGAAAGCUUGCUUUCGGUAGCCGGCGACCGGGGCACGGGUGAGUAAGGUGUCUCGACUCUGCCUCAUACUUGGGUAUAGCAUUGCGGAAGUAAGACUAAUGACUGGUGUUUUCAGAGUCCCGCAUGAGGCUUUGAACAAAGUUUUGUCGGUAUGAGAUGGCGACGCGUCGCAUUAGCUUGUUGGUGGGGUAACGGCCUACCAAGGCAUCGAUGGGUAGCGGUUCUGAGAGGAAGGUCCCCCACAUGGGAACUGAGACACGGACCAAAAUCCUACGGAACGCAGCGGAGAGGAACAUUAGGCAAUAGGCGGAAGCCUAAAACAGCCAAGUAGCGGGUGAGAGUACGGCCCUCCGGGUAGUAAACUGCUUUUAGUGGGGAAAAAAACAGGUCUCGUGAGCCCCCUUGCAGGUACCAUCAGAAAAAGGACCGGCUAAUUCCGUG